AUUGAACGCUGGCGGCAGGCCUAACACAUGCAAGUCGAGCGAGAGGCGGACGGGUGUGUAAAGUGUGUGAAACUGCCUGAUGGAGGGGGAUAACUACAGGAAACGGUAGCUAAUACCGCAUACCCUCUGAUGUGCCCAGAUGGGAUUAGCUAGUAGGUGGGGUAACGGCUCACCUCGGCGACGAUCCCUAGCUGGUCUGAGAGGAUGACCAGCAACACUGGAACUGAGACACGGUCCAGACUCCUACGGGAGGCAGCAGUGGGGAAUAUUGCACAAUGGGCGCAAGCCUGAGACAGCCAUGCCGCGUGUGUGAAGAAGGCCUUCGGGUUGUAAAGCACUUUCAGCGGGGAGGCGUUACCCGCAGAAGAAGCACCGGCUAACUCCGUGCCAGCAGCCGCGGUAAUAC
rnacentral:rRNA from 1 species